CGAUAAAAAAGAUCAAGUUCUCAUUACAGAGCACUUAAACGAUAAAUUGAAACACCGGUUUUUAACUGUUCAAAGGAAUGAGCUCGAUUAAAAUGGCAGAAUUUUUCUACUUUUACCUCGGCGAAUCCCUACAUACGAUAUGCUUGGAUUCGCUCCAAGGCUGGUGAAAUUUCUGGCUGAAAAUUCCAAAAAAAGAGCAACAGCUAAUGCGUUUUUAAACGCAGCGAAAAAGAGUGGGAGUCAGCGGUGUCGUAACGAAUUUAAUGAGACUAACUAUAGACAAGAUCGUACGUUUCACCGAGACGGUCAAUUGCUAAUUAAAAUACCGAACAAAGCGAAAAUAGCCGCAGACUUUCAGCCAACCAACCAGCUCUUCUUUUUAAUCCUCUAUCCAAAGAUGAAGGUGUGAAUUGAAAGUAACAACAUUCUAAUAUUCGACGUAAAUCAAUAGGUAAUUUAUUAACUAUUACAAUACAUUUAUAAUGAUUCCUUCAUUCAUGCAAUGUCUGGAAGCAAUGUUACCUAUAAAUAAUAAAUGUGCAUUUCAUUCAUGGUUCAGGGAAUUGAAUGAAACCAGUGAAUUAAAUUCGCGUUUAUUUUCAACGUGUUUCACAAGAAUGCUUUAUUACAGAGAGAAGACGAAUAAUGAAUAAUGUUUAUACAACAAAAGUGAGUAAUGCUAUUAAUCAUAGAUCAAGGAAGAAAUUAAGACGCUUUCCUGUUAUCUCUGCCCAGAUUAAUGUUAAUAUUAUUUGGCAAUUUUUUGUCCAAUCUUUACCAUAUCAAUUAAAAUGUUUAUUUUGACACUUUAAUGACCGCACGUCUACAGUUGUUCCAGCUAUCACACACAUGUUGUGUAAGCGGCCAUUAAAGUAUUAAUAUUGAUAUGAUAGCACUUAAUGGGUUAAGAAAAUCCAAAAACUUCUUUCGAAAUGAUUUAUUCAUUUUCAACAUGAGAAGUUACAUUACAUCUACAUAUGUUAUCUUUAAAAUAAAGGUAUCUUCGUUAGUUUGUAUCUGCAAUAAUUUUUCUUGCAGUCUCUGUAUCGUAACGGAGCAGAACUGAUAGCGUACGAUCAUUCGGCGCAAGCGUCUUGUAACAUUCAACGCAAGGUUGUGGUCGCUCCCUCUCACUCUGCUUUAAGGUUGAAUUAAUUAGGUAAGAAACACACUAAUGGAAGAAUUGUUGAUACAUUGACGAAUCCGCAAACGGGAAGGCACAACACAGCCGGCUAAGUUUUUCCUCGGAGUGAUGUAUCCGUGAAAAAAUAUCCAGCCAGAAGGAAGAAGCGGCCCAUUUACAGGGUACAAUUAAGCAUUAAAAUGUGUAACAAUGUACCUAUAUGGAGAGACUGGCGGAAGGGAAAAA